GAUGAAGAACGUAGCGAAAUGCGAUACGUAAUGUGAAUUGCAAAUUCAGUGAAUCAUCGAGUCUUUGAACGCACAUUGCGCCCCCUGGUAUUCCGGGGGGCAUGCCUGUCCGAGCGUCAUUGCUGCCCUCAAGCACGGCUUGUGUGUUGGGCCCCGUCCUCCGAUCCCGGGGGACGGGCCCGAAAGGCAGCGGCGGCACCGCGUCCGGUCCUCGAGCGUAUGGGGCUUUGCCACCCGCUCUGUAGGCCCGGCCGGCGCUUGCCGAUCAACCCAAAUUUUUUAUCCAGGUUGACCUCGGAUCAGGUAGGGAUACCCGCUGAACUUAAGCAUAUCAAUAAGCGGAGGA
rnacentral:misc_RNA from 1 species